GACGAACGCUGGCGGCGUGCUUAACACAUGCAAGUCGAACGAGAUUCUAGCGAGUCAAUCAAUUCGUUGAAAGACAUGCUAGAUGAAAGUGGCGAACGGGUGAGUAACACGUGGGUAACCUGCCCAUAAAAGGGGGAUAACAUCCGGAAACGGGUGCUAAUACCGCAUAGGUUUCUUGGUCGCAUGAUUGAGAAAGGAAGACGGCCUUUGUGCUGUCGCUUAUGGAUGGACCCGNGGCGUAUUAGCUAGUUGGUGGGGUANAAGCCUACCAAGGCGACGAUCAGUAGCC
rnacentral:rRNA from 1 species